GUUCUGGAUCAUUAACAUCAUCAAGAACAGCAAGAACUUUCUUCCGAUUAAGUGAAUCCUUAAUGAAAGUGGGUACCACACUGAGCAUUUCUAGAUUUCUAAUUUCAAUCCCCAAGAGUUCCGAAAAAAAGCUUUUUCUUAAAUCAACUAGCCCAUAUUUUUCUGAUUUUUCCCUAACAUUGCGAAGAAAGCAAAAGCUAUCAAAUUGAUUAGAUAUUCGACUAACUAGAACUUCAGCUAUGGUGGGUCUUUCCAAUACCACCCAUUCCCCAAAUUCCUAUUAUCCGAACAUCUUUUGCCUCAAUUAGUUUUUCAACAAGUGAAUCAAUCCCAACUAAGCCCUUAGAUUCAACAUACGAUCUGAGAUACAAUUUCUUCAGAAUUUUGUCAGCGACUUCGUCACAUAAUUGGGAUUCAGGCCUGUUGAUGCUGGGAAAUCCAGAUAGAUUGCCUGCUUCCGUCAAAGCAAUGCUCCACUUCUCCACAACGUCUAAGUUGUGCUUAAAUUUUUCUUUAACUUCCCCAAAUGCUUCUCCAAAUUUCCCGGUGUGUUUUCUAACAUCAGAAGGAUCUACAUUGUAGAAAAUGGGAAAAACCCGUUGGCCCAAUCUUUC
rnacentral:misc_RNA from 1 species